ACACCUUAGGAGGACAAAUCUUUGGCCAUCAUGGAAUGUAUUUUUUUUCCCCUCUCUACUCAGCUAUAAUAUUGAAGUCAAUCUGAGGCCCAAAGAAAUACUUGGUAACAACUCAAUCAUUUCUUACAGUAUUGCAAAUACUGUUGAAUUUCAGUCUCAAUAACUAACUAGAAUAUGCAUCACUACAUUCCAAUUUCUUAGGAUGUCCUGCAGCAUAAGGACAAGAGACAAUUCAUUUAGUCCAGUGUGGAAGGGGGA